UCCGCUGUAGUCCAACGGCUAGGAUAUAUCGCUUUCACCGAUGAGAUCGGGGUUCGAUUCCCCGCAGCGGAA